rnacentral:rRNA from 1 species
AACGAACGCUGGCGGCAAGCUUAACACAUGCAAGUCGAACGGACCGUAUACGCAGCUUGCUGCGUGUAUGGUUAGUGGCAGACGGGUGAGUAAUGCAUAGGAAUCUACCUAGUAGUAUGGGAUAGCCACUAGAAAUGGUGGGUAAUACUGUAUAAUCCCUGCGGGGGAAAGAUUUAUCGCUAUUAGAUGAGCCUAUGUCAGAUUAGCUAGUUGGUGGGGUAAUGGCCUACCAAGGCGGUGAUCUGUAGCUGGUCUGAGAGGAUGAUCAGCCACACUGGAACUGAGACACGGUCCAGACUCCUACGGGAGGCAGCAGUGGGGAAUAUUGGACAAAUGGGCGCAAGCCUGAUCCAGCUAUGCCGGCGUGAGUGAGGAAGGCCUUAGGGUUGUAAAACUCUUUCAGUAGGGAAGAUAAUGACGGUACCUAC